GAUGAACGCUAGCGGCAGGCCUAAUACAUGCAAGUCGAACGGAUAUAUGUUUUUCGGAAUAUAUAUUAGUGGCGCACGGGUGAGUAACACGUACAUAACUUGCCCUCAAGCGGGGGAUAGCCUUGGGAAACUGAGAGUAAUACCCCAUAGAAUUAUUGGACGGCAUCGUUUGAUAAUUAAAACUACGGUGCUUGGGGAUAGAUGUGCGUCUGAUUAGCUAGUUGGUGAGGUAACUGCUCACCAAGGCGACGAUCAGUAGGGGGCGUGAGAGCGUGGCCCCCCACACGGGUACUGAGACACGGACCCGACUCCUACGGGAGGCAGCAGUAAGGAAUAUUGGUCAAUGGAGGGAACUCUGAACCAGCCAUGCCGCGUGAAGGAUGACGGCCCUCUGGGUUGUAAACUGCUUUUAUCUGGGAAGAAAAGCCGGCAUUUAUGUUGGUCUGACGGUACCAGAGGAAUAAGCACCGGCUAACUCCGUGCCAGCAGCCGCGGUAAAGUGUG
rnacentral:rRNA from 1 species